rnacentral:rRNA from 1 species
GAUGAACGCUGGCGGCGUGCCUAAUACAUGCAAGUCGAGCGGACUUCAGAGAGCUUGCUCUCUGAGGUUAGCGGCGGACGGGUGAGUAACACGUGGGUAACCUGCCUGUAAGACGGGGAUAACUUCGGGAAACCGAAGCUAAUACCGGAUGAUAAAGAGAAACGCCUGUUUCUUUUUUGAAAGUCGGCCUUGUGCUGCCGCUUACAGAUGGGCCCGCGGCGCAUUAGCUAGGUGGUGAGGUAACGGCUCACCAAGGCGACGGUGCGUAGCCGACCUGAGAGGGUGAUCGGCCACACUGGGACUGAGACACGGCCCAGACUCCUACGGGAGGCGGCAGUAGGGAAUCUUCGGCAAUGGACGAAAGUCUGACCGAGCAACGCCGCGUGAGCGAUGAAGGCCUUCGGGUCGUAAAGCUCUGUUGUCAGAGAAGAACAAGUACCGGAGUAACUGCCGGUACCUUGACGGUACCUGACCAGAAAGCCACGGCUAACUACGUGCCAGCCGCCGCGGUAAGAC